rnacentral:rRNA from 1 species
CUUGGUCAUUUAGAGGAAGUAAAAGUCGUAACAAGGUUUCCGUAGGUGAACCUGCGGAAGGAUCAUUACCGAGUGAGGGCCCUCUGGGUCCAACCUCCCACCCGUGUUUAAUCGUACCUUGUUGCUUCGGCGGGCCCGCCUCACGGCCGCUGGGGGGGUCUUGCACCCCCCGGGCCCGCGCCCGCCGAAGACACCAUCGAACGCUGUCUAAAGUUUGCAGUCUGAGCAGAUUUAGCAAAAUCGUUAAAACUUUCAACAACGGAUCUCUUGGUUCCGGCAUCGAUGAAGAACGCAGCGAAAUGCGAUAAGUAAUGUGAAUUGCAGAAUUCAGUGAAUCAUCGAAUCUUUGAACGCACAUUGCGCCCCCUGGUAUUCCGGGGGGCAUGCCUGUCCGAGCGUCAUUGCUGCCCUCAAGCACGGCUUGUGUGUUGGGCCCCCGCCCCCCCCAAAAGGGGGGCGGGCCCGAAAGGCAGCGGCGGCACCGCGUCCGGUCCUCGAGCGUAUGGGGCUUUGUCACCCGCUCGUGUAGGCCCGGCCGGCGCCAGCCGACACUCCAAUCUUUAACCAGGUUGACCUCGGAUCAGGUAGGGAUACCCGCUGAACUUAAGCAUAUCAAUAAGCGGAGGAAAAGAAACCAACAGGGAUUGCCUCAGUAACGGCGAGUGAAGCGGCAAGAGCUCAAAUUUGAAAGCUGGCCCCCUCGGGGCCCGCAUUGUAACUUGCAGAGGAUGCUUCGGGAGCGGCCCCCAUCUAAGUGCCCUGGAACGGGCCGUCAUAGAGGGUGAGAAUCCCGUAUGGGAUGGGGUGCCCGCGCCCGUGUGAAGCUCCUUCGACGAGUCGAGUUGUUUGGGAAUGCAGCUCUAAAUGGGUGGUAAAUUUCAUCUAAAGCUAAAUAUUGGCCGGAGACCGAUAGCGCACAAGUAGAGUGAUCGAAAGAUGAAAAGCACUUUGAAAAGAGAGUUAAAAAGCACGUGAAAUUGUUGAAAGGGAAGCGCUUGCGACCAGACUCGCCCGCGGGGUUCAGCCGGCAUUCGUGCCGGUGUACUUCCCCGUGGGCGGGCCAGCGUCGGUUUGGGCGGCCGGUCAAAGGCCCUCGGAAUGUAACGCCUCUCGGGGCGUCUUAUAGCCGAGGGUGUCAUGCGGCCAGCCCGGACCGAGGAACGCGCUUCGGCUCGGACGCUGGCAUAAUGGUCGUAAGCGACCCGUCUUGAAACACGGACC